CUUAAUCUUUUUCCCUUUGAGCCAGCAUCAUCCUCACCAAAGAAAAACCACGACAAAAUUGGUACCGCCAGCGUUCAGCCCCACCAACAACUAGUUCGACGCGACCGACCCCCCCUUUUUCUCGUCCUGGAUACCAUACCUGACCUCAACCCGACAAAAUCCCACCUCUCCUUCUCUCUUCCCAUACCAAAAAAGUUAGAAACUUCGAGAAAUUGCUUAGGUGGAUUGAGCUAUGUGUUUUGACGUACGGAUGGUACAAGUCUGGUACCAAAUCCAUCUCAAACCUUAUCCCAUCCUUUGAAUUCAAAUUUCCCCAUAAAAAUUCCGAAAUUGCCCCCUAAAAUCCUUAAUCCCACAUCGGUUGAGGGUCAGAGGAAUCCAUUUCAUUUUUUCUAUAAAAUGUUGUCUUUAGAGCAAAAAAAGGGAACAAUUCUCAAAGAGGGAAAAGCCGUCUUGAGCAAAUCAGUAAAAAAUUUCCUUUUUAGUUAAAAGUUUUGUUUUCAUAAAAGUCGGUGGUUAAUCGGAGUUUUCGAGUUAACGACGAAGAGGUUAUCCGAUGGUUGUGGGUUCGACGAUAGCUCGAGGUUCCGUUUUGCUGAUCAAAAAUCGGUGAAUCGAAAUUCGAGCCCAAAGGUUCGAAAAUAUAGAUUAGGACAGGUGGAAGAUGGGCCGAAAGCCCAAUAUCUAGACUAGGACAGGGUGAUGGAUUUGGGUUUAAAGGCCGAAAUCAUUUAUUUCUUCCCCUCUUUCCCUUUUUCUAUUUUUAUUUGCUCGGUAUUUGAAUCUAGUUAACUCCUUAGCUAAGUCGCUAAAAAACUGAUUUUGCAAAAACUUUUCCUUAAACAAUCCCUUUUUCAACAAUCGAUUUCUUAUAAAGUUAGUCAAAAGAAAUAAGUUUCAAACAGUCUAGAUAACCGCAAGUUAGCGGAUGUUUUAGUUGCUUUAAAACCUUUUUAAAACGUUAAUAGGAACUGUUUACCUAGAAUUUCAACUUAAAUGAUUUUCCUGUUUUGAAUCAUGUAAGUACUUUACAAAGGUUUCUUAAUUCCUUUUAAAAAUUAAAUGGCGAUUUUUUUAAGUCAAAGUUUUCACAAAACAGGCAAUGGUUUGAGACCAAUAUUACAGACUCGAUUACUCCAAGGAAAUAAAAAUACAACUCUAUGAGCAAUUAGUUCCUUGUUGCAGCUGCAAUCUUUGAUAAGCACUUCCGAGAGAGAUUUUAUUGUGAGAAUUUGAAGUGUUGAUUUUCUUGCUGUGGAAGCUGAGCAUUAUUUAUCGUGACACAAGAAAAUCGAGGCAAACAGGGGACAACAACUUUUCACUAACUUUUGUACUAUGUGUUAGAAAGUUAACAGCGAUAGGUGAGCCCAACCUAUUCCCUACUACGUAGAGGGCCUUUGUCCUCACAACAAUGGCUCUAUGGAGCAGGCCUCAAAUCAUAAAUUUGUCAAUCAUCAAAACUAAGGACUUAACAAAACUCCACUAUUGCUUAUUAACUUUUCUUUAUGUAGUAGAGAGUUGUUGUUCAGCCAUUGUUAAAGCUCAACUUUUCAAAUUUUGAAAAUUAAAUUUCGCGAUUAAGCUUUGUUUUGAGUGUAUUGAUUGCGAAAGAUUGUUUAUGUAUUAAGGAGCCCAAAUAUGAAAUUUGGGUGAUUGGUCUAGCUUUUAAGGUAUUUUUGGAUGAAUUUGGUGUUUUGA